rnacentral:rRNA from 1 species
ACGAACCGAGCGAACGUUGUUCGGAAUCACUGGGCUUAAAGGGCGCGUAGGCGGGCUGUCAAGUCUGGGGUGAAAUCCCGCGGCUCAACCGUGGAACUGCCUUAGAUACUGACGGCCUCGAGGGAGAUAGGGGCGAGCGGAACUGUGAGUGGAGCGGUGAAAUGCGUUGAUAUUCACAGGAACUCCGGUGGCGAAGGCGGCUCGCUGGAUCUUUUCUGACGCUGAGGCGCGAAAGCUAGGGGAGCAAACGGGA